AGCUCCAAUAGCGUAUAUUAAAGUUGUUGCAGUUAAAAGCUCGUAGUUGGAUUUUUGAUCGGAGAGGUCGGUCCGCUCUGCAAAGAGUGUGUACUAGCGCCUCCUCCGGUUUUUCUUAUGGAGAGGCAUUCUGGCAUUAGGUUGUUGGGGUGUGGAUCCAUAUCGUUUACUGUGAAAAAUUAGAGUGUUUAAAGCAGGCUUAGGCCGUUGAAUACAUUAGCAUGGAAUAAUAAGAUAGGACUUUGGCUCUAUUUUGUUGGUUUGCGUGCCAAGGUAAUGAUUAAUAGGGAUAGUUGGGGGUAUUCAUAUUUAAUUGUCAGAGGUGAAAUUCUUGGAUUUAUGAAAGAUGAACUUCUGCGAAAGCAUUUACCAAGGAUGUUUU
rnacentral:rRNA from 1 species